rnacentral:rRNA from 1 species
GUGGGGAAUAUUGGACAAUGGGCGCAAGCCUGAUCCAGCCAUACCGCGUGGGUGAAGAAGGCCUUCGGGUUGUAAAGCCCUUUUGUUGGGAAAGAAAUCCUAUCGAUUAAUACUCGGUGGGGAUGACGGUACCCAAAGAAUAAGCACCGGCUAACUUCGUGCCAGCAGCCGCGGUAAUACGAAGGGUGCAAGCGUUACUCGGAAUUACUGGGCGUAAAGCGUGCGUAGGUGGUUGUUUAAGUCUGCUGUGAAAGCCCUGGGCUCAACCUGGGAAUUGCAGUGGAUACUGGGCAACUAGAGUGUGGGAGAGGGAUGCGGAAUUUCUGGUGUAGCAGUGAAAUGCGUAGAGAUCAGAAGGAACAUCCGUGGCGAAGGCGGCAUCCUGGGCCAACACUGACACUGAGGCACGAAAGCGUGGGGAGCAAACAGGAUUAGAAACCCGAGUAGUCC